GUGUUAAAUUCUUUUUGAAUGCAGCUCAAUCGGCUUGCAUUAAUGGGGCCAAAAAACCCCUAUUCCUAAACCAACAAAGCUACCUACAAUAAGCUCACCUUAAGCGCUUCGGGCACCUUUCUUACCAAAGCUGGAAACGGGUACUGAAACAAAAAGCAGUCAGGUCUGGAGUCUGUCUGUCCAAAGUUAAAAAUGUGAUCAACCGCCCGCAUAGGGUUCUUUACAUGGGUAUAUAUGUAGGUGUGAGCAUGACAGUUUUCUGUACCUCCCACAAUGACUGGAGCGGUAAUGUUGACUGGACGUGUUGAUUGACCGACUGGAUGGUUAUAUAGCUGUUGAUUUUUUUUU